GGUCAGCGGGUCUUCCCUGAGCGCGCGUCUUCAGCCUCUGAGGAAGUCAGUUGGUUUCACUCAGAGGCUCACGAGAUACCACACGAAGAGGGCAGAGUUUCAGGGAUAAUGUGGUAACGGUGGCAGCUGCUGCUGAAUGUAGGAGAGGGAGGGAUGGUGGAAGGCAGGCAUCACCCUUACUUCGUUCAGACAGUGGUUUUCCUCGGAGCACGUGCCUGCAGACCUAUGUGACGAAGCCUGGCUGUCAUCAUGGUUUCUGCCUGCAGCUUCUUUCUUCAGAAGAAGACAAAGUGUGUCCUGCUUUCACUCAAACCAUGCAGAGAGGAGUCCGGCCAGGAGAGUUUUGAGGACCGUGGAGCACAGCCUGAGCAAGCCUGGCAGUUGAUGCCUGAAGGGGGGAGGAGGGAGUGCUGCCGCCUUUUAAGGAAAAGGAUUUCCUCUCUCUUGCUCUUUUCCCUGCAUGUGCCAUGUUUUUUUUUAUUAUUCUAUUCAGCAGCACGGGACACACUUGAACUGUGCAUUCAUGCCUUCUAACAGGGCAUCGUGGGUGCUGCUGGACAUUGCUAAGGUCAUCCUGCCAGGAACCUGGGACAGGACGGGAGCCACCACCCCUGUAAGCAUGCGACAGGAGUGCAGAGUUCUGGGAGACUCCCUGAGCCACUUUCUAGCAAGAUCCGAGCAGGAACAUCAGAGCAGAGCAAGAGCCAUGUACGGGAGAAAAGUGACGGACACAGAGAACAAGAAGGUGAGAUCGCGACUCCUAGACUCAUAGGCAAACAGCCACAGAAAGACACGCGGCCCGAAGUGGGGACAGGAUCAGGAUGCGCGAGGGGCAGACCAGCAAUUACACGCCGAAGAAAUUGAAGAUACUUCAUUUGGAUUUUGGGGUUGCAGACAUUUAUACAGUAAAUCUGAAAAAAGUCCUGCCACAAUGAUUAAAAUGAUUCCUCAUGCCCUGAAUCAUUUUAUUAUAUUUAUAUAUUUAUUUAUACAAAUUGCUAUAUAUUUAAAAAACUAAAAAAGACCAGUCUCCUCUGACGAUCCCAGGACAGUAGAUGUAAGUCCUGUGUGGAAGUGGGAUCUAUUGCGACUUGACUUCCAGCCCCAGCUAAAGAUGACCAAGUUUCGUUUCAGCCCAGUAAAAGCCUACUAAAAACUGUAUGUAUGUAUGUAUUUAUUUAUUUAUUUCACAAUAAUCUGUGAUUGUUUACAGUGCUCCCAGGGUGUGUGUUUGCUUGAUUUGGUCAUGAGACAGGGAGCUCUGAGGAGCUAUUAAUACAUUUAUCAUCACAAGUUACUGGCUUGCAAAAUAUUUGAAUACUGUUACCACGUGGUUACCGGAGCCAAGUUACGAAACGCCAGAGGCUGAUUCCCCACAAACACAAGACUUAUGUAAGGCAUUCUGUAAAAGGUUCUGGAAGAGAAGUUGAGCUCUAUUGCAGGAAUCAGAGGAAGUUUCACAAGACAGAUACUUGCCAAUUUGAAGUAUUCAAAAAUGUCUUUCUACUUUAAACAGCCAGCGGCUUCUAAAUAACUUGUAUGUGAGCCACGUAGACCGCUGAUGUCCUUCUGGGUUCCCAUGGAUUGGCCUAAUCCCCAUCGUGACUGUGGACUCAUGUCCCCCACGAAGCCCACGAAGCUCCCCAGGGAAGGCAGCAGAAUGUGGACGCCGGGUAUUGGGUUGGGACUGAGCCAGGAGGCAGGCGCUUCUCCACUCAAGUGAUGGUGAGACUUUGGAACAUUUUGUGUCUGAGAUUGGGUCACAUGACAGAGUUAUAGACAUCAUUUGGAAAAUUGGUGGGGGCAUGGUGGGCAGAAGCAACCUUCCAUUGGAAAGAAGAAAGAAACAAUCUGAAUUUUCCCACUCAUUUGUGUGCUGAGCUCUGGCUUGCCAAUAAAGAAGGAAUACUAGGCCUGGAACCAUCCGGUCAGUCAGAAUCAAAAUGAAUGGAAGAGGGGACUAAGGAUUGCAAGCCUAUCUUUUCCGGUCCUAAUGAGAACUUCUGCUCUUCCUGGAGAAUAAAUCACCACAGCAUACCACCUUUACCACCACCAGCUUUGCUUCACAUAAAACACAUUCAGUUCCCGGAUCCCUUACAUGGAUACUUUGCUCCUCAGGAGACCUCUCCCUCAGGAUUAGAUGGGGCACUGUACGACUGAGGAGAUUCUGAAUUUAUACUCAGCUUGUAGUUGCCACCCAGCUAACAGAUUGCCAUAGCUGCCUAGUGGGACAGUUUCGAUGCCUGUGAUUUCCAUCUCCACUGACUGUGAAGGGAAAGACACUGACAACUAAGGAGUUUAUCGCUGAAACUUACUGCUAUGCCGCUAUCCCGAGUGCAGUGCAGAUUCAGUGACUAAAGCUUUUCCCCUCUCCACUGAUUGGGAAGAGACAAUAGCUUACUGACUUGACUGGAUGUAAGACCACAGUGGAUGGAGAGGUGCCUUAUCUUGAGAAGGCCUGGGAAACAAUAGGAUAAUGACUGAAUGUACCGGUUAUGAGGUGAUGCUGUGUGAUCUAUCAGGCUUAGCCUUGGAAGGGAAAAUAAGUCAUAAUGUUUAAAUCGGAAGGAACUCCAGGGCCUUUAGCCUGAUAAAGGACCUAUAGUGUGGCAUGAUUAAAUCACAGGUUAUGUUAACAACAAAAGAACUUUCUCUCAUUCAGAUCAUAAUCUGCUUUUUCAAAAUUGC
ensembl:lincRNA